GAGACUGAUCGGCCACAUUGGGACUGAAACACGGCCCAAACUCCUACGGGAGGCAGCAGUAGGGAAUCUUCCACAAUGGACGCAAGUCUGAUGGAGCAACGCCGCGUGAGUGAAGAAGGUUUUCGGAUCGUAAAGCUCUGUUGUUGGUGAAGAAGGAUAGAGGUAGUAACUGGACUUUAUUUGACGGUAAUCAACCAGGAAGUCACGGCUAACUACGUGCCAGCAGCCGCGGUAAUACGUAGGUGGCAAGCGUUGUCCGGAUUUAUUGGGCGUAAAGCGAGCGCAGGCGGAAAAAUAAGUCUAAUGUGAAAGCCCUCGGCUUAACCGAGGAACUGCAUCGGAAACUGUUUUUCUUGAGUGCUCAACAGGAGAGUGGAACUCCAUGUGUAGCGGUGGAAUGCGUAGAUAUAUGGAAGAACACCAGUGGCGAACGCGGCUCUCUGGUCUGCAACUGACGCUGAGGCUCGAAAGCAUGGGGUAGCGAACAGCAUUAGAUACCC
rnacentral:rRNA from 1 species